UACGUAGGGUGCAAGCGUUGUCCGGAAUUAUUGGGCUUAAAGGGCUCGUAGGCGGUCCGUCACGUCGGGAGUGAAAACUUGGGGCUUAACCCCAAGCCUGCUUCCGAUACGGGCGGACUAGAGGUAGGCAGGGGAGAACGGAAUUCCUGGUGUAGCGGUGAAAUGCGCAGAUAUCAGGAGGAACACCGGUGGCGAAGGCGGUUCUCUGGGCCUUACCUGACGCUGAGGAGCGAAAGCGUGGGGAGCGAACAGG
rnacentral:rRNA from 1 species